CCUACGGGUGCUGCAGUGGGGAAUAUUGCGCAAUGGGCGGAAGCCUGACGCAGCAACGCCGCGUGCGGGAUGACGGCCUUCGGGUUGUAAACCGCUUUCAGCAGGGACGAAGCGAAAGUGACGGUACCUGCAGAAGAAGCACCGGCCAACUACGUGCCAGCAGCCGCGGUGAUACGUAGGGUGCGAGCGUUGUCCGGAAUUAUUGGGCGUAAAGAGCUCGUAGGCGGUUGAUCGCGUCGGAAGUGAAAACUCAGGGCUUAACUCUGAGCCUGCUUCCGAUACGGGUUGACUAGAGGAAGUUAGGGGAGAACGGAAUUCCUGGUGGAGCGGUGGAAUGCGCAGAUAUCAGGAGGAACACCGAUGGCGAAGGCAGUUCUCUGGGACUUUCCUGACGCUGAGGAGCGAAAGCGUGGGGAGCAAACAGGCUUAGAUACCCGGGUAGUCU
rnacentral:rRNA from 1 species